rnacentral:lncRNA from 1 species
CCGCGUCCGCGGCCUUCAAACGUGGGGGAUGCUCAGGGGACCCGCGGUCCCACCCCGUGGCCGCGGGUGAUGACCGCGGGUGUCUCCUGAGUCGGGAACAGCUGACCCGCGGUCUUACCCCGCGGCCGCGGGUGGUGACCGCGGGGUACUGGGCGUUUUGCACAGUCCGCUCGUUUUUGCUCCGUUCUCCCUCGUCCGGACUCGGAUUUGGUCGCCGUUUGCGCUCACGGAUUCCUCUC